CGCUGCUUGGGUUUUUUCGAAAAAAAACACCGCGAUUUCAGCCCCAACUUCCCAAAAAGCUUGCUCUCAAUAAAUGUCUCCGAUUUUCUCUCUCAACAAAAGAACAAACAAACCCAACUCAGAUCCCAACUUCCCUCCUCCCUCUCUCGAUCUCUCACACGCCGCUCGGAGGGAUCUCGAUCUCUCACGCCGCUCGGAGGGAUCUCUCUCACGCCGCCACGCCCCCGAGUCUCGCCGAGCCCAGCCCCGACUCCGUCAAGCCACCGAGUCUCGCCGCCCCCAAGUCUCGCCCCCAACCACGACGCCGCCGCCGCCACGACUCGGCCACGACACCGCCGCCCCCGAUCUCAGGUUGCUCUGCGUUGGAGGAACUAGCCACUGUAAUCAAAUCAUUAGGCCAGGAUCUUAACGAAGAAAAGUUAUUGCAAAUAAUGAGCAAAUUUAACGUAGAGGGCAAUGAGAACGUGGAAUUUGGGGAGUUCUUAAAUCAAAUGACUAGAAAAAUGAAGGAAAUUGAUGCAGAAGAGGAAAUGAAUGUUCCAAACAUGUGGGUUUCUCAAAUGAUACAGAGCUAACUUUGCCAAGAGAAAUUGAGGCUGUUUAUAAGCAGACUCCUUCAGCUGACAAUGAGUCAUUAGAAAAAGAUGAUGUCCUUAUUCAUAAUCAAACACAUGAAGCAAGAGUGGAAGAAGAGGCAAAUAUUUUGGCUCAAGAAUCAACAGAGGAAGCCGAUGAGUUUGUAGAUAGUAUAGUAGAGAGGCAGAAUCAAAGUCUUCCAGCAAACAUCAACCAAGAAAACAAGAUAGAUGAUUUACCAGUUGAAGACAGCAACUCAAUAGGAGACAUGGUACCGGUGAUUAAUAGUAUCCAAGUAAUUGAAGAUCAUAAUGACCAAGAUAGAGAACGAAAAAGAGUUAGAAGCAGGCCAAUCGGUUGCUUAUUUAGAUGCUGUUGACUCGGAAAUUGAGAAAUUAAUGAUGGAAGACUUUGCAAAUGGAGCGAAAGAAGCUUCUAAGACCGAAUCAAACAAACUAUUAGAAGAACUAAAGAUGGAUGAUGUUGACACAGAUAGUUUUGAAAUACAACUUAAUGCCCUUGAGCCUAAUGAAGAAGAAAAGGAUGAUGGAAACGAUGCGAGACUCGAAGAGGCAGUAUUUGAGAUAUCUCUUCAAACUGAUUACACUUCAAAUUUGAUGCCUG